UGGGGAAUAUUGGACAAUGGGGGCAACCCUGAUCCAGCCAUGCCGCGUGUGUGAAGAAGGUCUUCGGAUUGUAAAGCACUUUAAGUUGGGAGGAAGGGCAGUUACCUAAUACGUAUCUGUUUUGACGUUACCGACAGAAUAAGCACCGGCUAACUCUGUGCCAGCAGCCGCGGUAAUACAGAGGGUGCAAGCGUUAAUCGGAAUUACUGGGCGUAAAGCGCGCGUAGGUGGUUUGUUAAGUUGGAUGUGAAAUCCCCGGGCUCAACCUGGGAACUGCAUUCAAAACUGACAAGCUAGAGUAUGGUAGAGGGUGGUGGAAUUUCCUGUGUAGCGGUGAAACGCGUAGAUAUAGGAAGGAACACCAGUGGCGAAGGCGACCACCUGGACUGAUACUGACACUGAGGUGCGAAAGCGUGGGGAGCAAACAGGAUUAGAUACCCAUGUAGUCCCUGAGCGGGCUGGCAAGGCGCAU
rnacentral:rRNA from 1 species